UACGUAGGGGCAGCAGUGUCGAUUCGAAUUGUGGCGUAAAGAGCUCGUAGGCGGUCUGUUGCGUCCGCUGUGAAAACUCGGGGCUUAACCCCGAGCCUGCAGUGGAUACGGGCGGGCUAGAGUUCGGUAGGGGAGACUGGAAUUCCUGGUGUAGCGGUGAAAUGCGCAGAUAUCAGGAGGAACACCGGUGGCGAAGGCGGGUCUCUGGGCCGAUACUGACGCUGAGGAGCGAAAGCGUGGGGAGCGAACAGG
rnacentral:rRNA from 1 species